UGCCACUGAUGUGUCGUAAGAAGAAGAAACGCUCGUCUGACAUUCCACAUUAUAAGACUGCUAUCUUUUGUUUGUCGUAUAAGAUGGAAACAACUAAUUAAAUAAAAAAAUGGCUUCGAAAAUUGAAACGCAAAUUUUUUCUAAUCCUGAACUGUACUCUACAAAAAGCACUAGACCCAGUACACAUGACACGUAAUUCGUUUGUUGAUAUUUCAGCUGAACUUCAGUAUCAUCAUAAGAUCUAGUAUGAAGUCUGCCAUUAUUCUGGCUAUUACCUUGUAUGUUCUUUUUGCAGGUAAAUGUUACAGUACAAAUGUCACAUAUUGUCUGAUAUAUUUGUCUUGCCUAUGACAGUUUAAGGUGGUACCCAACACCUGAACUAAAAUUAAUUUGGCUCGUUUAAUUUUCUCUAAAUUUUGACAAAGUAUUUAGUUUGACCCUUUGACAAAAAUAUAAAAAUUUCAAAAACUUUGAACCAACCGUUUAAUCAGAAAAGUUACACUGGUUAUUAAGCAGUUUGACAAAAACUUAUUUUGAUCAUUGAGAAGCUUAAUAUUCUCUUAACAACACAACAUCAUUAAAACGUUCUGCUGAUUUUACAGAGUUAUCUCCCUGUAGUGUUAGUACCACCUUAAGUGUUCAGAAGUACAAACUUCUGAAAAGGAACGCUUUUAGUAAUUUCAAUACAACUUAAUUUUGAGAAAGAAUUUCUAUCAUGUUUUUAUCUAAUUACAAGUAAAUCUAACCUAAAUCAUUUACAUUCGGGAUAUGUUGUGGCUGUCAGUGUGUAUCUGUGGAGGAAUUUUGAAGUGACGGAAAAAACCAGUGACCUAGAACACUAACAAUCCUAUUCAAAUAAGAUUGGAGCCGAAUGCACCGGGCAUGUGCGGGAUUCGAACUCACAACAUCGAUGUUGACAGUCUGUUGAUACAUAUUGUCGACUACGUAAUAAAACCAUUCACCCACCGGGGCCUCUUAAAAAAUAUGAAGGAUGCAAUGAAAAAGAUAGUCUAGUCGAUGAAAAACAGACAACACAAUGGUUGAAAAAAAAUACAACAACAUUGUAUAUAAUGCUACACAAACGCUACAAAUAAUGCAACAUGAAUCUAGUCAAGAGUAACAGCAGUCAAACGAGGUGCACCGGAAGAGUCAGCAAUUCCUUCUAUACUUUUUGGAAAUACAUUGUUGAUACAUAUUGUCAAAAGUUCUUCAACACAUUCUUUGUUGAUUUAUAUGAGGAAGACAACUCAUAAAAUAAUUUAAAGGAACGAUAAUUCAUUUCCUGGCACAAGUAUGAUGAAUGUUUUUUCUUUGAAGAGGUAAAUUACAACAAUUUUAUUUAUCUACAAUGUUUCGUUUUAGUCUACGAAUCAGAUGCAAGCUGUAGAUCCCGUUGUAGAUUGAAAUGAUUUGGAAGAGGAUGCGGUGCUUACUUUGCUGCUCAACGUGGACCCUUUUGCUUAUGUAAAUGCUAUCGGUGUGCCAAUGAAUCUGUAACAAAGAUAGACAUAAAACAAAUUAAAGAGUAAGUUCUGACAAUAAAAGGUUCUCCUUGUCCUUUGUAGCUUAAAAGAAAAAUUAAAAUCAGAUAAGUUAACCUUUCCAAUGUGACCUUGAUCAUUUCUUGUUCUCCAAAAAAUGUCCUUUAUAGCUUUAAAAAUAAUUUAAAUCCGGAUUUACCUUAUCGAGGCGGCCUCUAUUAGUCAACAUUAUCCUCUAUUAUUGAUUAGUAUUUAACUAUAAAUGUUUGUAAAAUUUGCAAUCUGUUGGUUCAGAUUGGUACAUGUAAAUUUUGUUGUAACGGCUAGUUUCAAUCGAAAUUUUCCGAAGUCUUGCGUUGGAUCUAGAUUACAUUAGAACUAUUCUUUUUUUCGAGUUAUGUUUUUUAUUGCCUACUUUUAGUCUAGUUUAGGAAAUAAAUAACUGACAAAAAUAGCUCUGUGUAUUAGCAUAAUUAUGUCAAUCUUAACAUAUCAUCUCAUUUUGAUAUGGAUACAUCUUAUCUCAUCGACGGUUGUUGUGCCUAUUUAACAUAACAUUUUGGUUUUCUUUCAGACAAUCUUCCAUGUCUCAUCAACAAAUAGACAACUUCGCUGAAGAACAGACACAGUUUACUCAGUAAUCAUAACACAGACUUCAGCUAAAUAGCAGAACUUUGUUUUCUUCAACUAAAAUCGUUACUGUUGAACUUUUGAAUAAAAUCCCUU
rnacentral:lncRNA from 1 species